UUCGUUGUAGUCUAGCUGGUUAGGAUACUUGUCUCUCACCCAAGAGACUUGGGUUUGAGUCCUGGCAACGGAA
rfam:Setaria italica strain Yugu1 chromosome VI, whole genome shotgun sequence.